AGAGUUUGAUCCUGGCUCAGAACGAACGCUGGCGGCAGGCCUAACACAUGCAAGUCGAACGCCCCGCAAGGGGAGUGGCAGACGGGUGAGUAACGCGUGGGAACCUACCUUACGGUCGGGAAUAGCUCAGGGAAACUUGGGGUAAUACCGGAUACGCCCUUACGGGGAAAGAUUUAUCGCCGUUAGAUGGGCCCGCGUAGGAUUAGCUAGUUGGUGAGGUAAUGGCUCACCAAGGCGACGAUCCUUAGCUGGUCUGAGAGGAUGAUCAGCCACACUGGGACUGAGACACGGCCCAGACUCCUACGGGAGGCAGCAGUGGGGAAUAUUGGACAAUGGGCGCAAGCCUGAUCCAGCCAUGCCGCGUGAGUGACGAAGGCCUUAGGGUUGUAAAGCUCUUUUGGCGGGGAAGAUAAUGACGGUACCCGCAGAAUAA
rnacentral:rRNA from 1 species